rnacentral:rRNA from 1 species
AGCUCUAGCCCUAUGAACUAAAUAAUUAAACUAUUUUUAUUAAUAAAUCAAACCAUUUAACUAUUAAAGUAUCGGAGAGAGAAACUUUACCUAAAGGAGCUAUAGAGACAGUACCGUAAGGGAAAGAUGAAAGAUAAGCUAAAGUAAAAAAAAGCAAAGAUUAAACCUUUUACCUUUUGCAUAAUGAACUAACUAGAACAAUUCUAGCUAAGAGAACUGAAGCUAGAAACCCCGAAACCAAACGAGCUACCUAAGAGCAAUUUUAUGGAUGCACCCGUCUAUGUAGCAAAAUAGUGGGAAGACUUCUAGGUAGAGGUGAAAAGCCUAACGAGCUUGGUGAUAGCUGGUUACCCAAUAAAGAAUUUCAGUUCAACUUUAAAUUUACCUAAAGGAAUAACAACCUAAAUGUAAAUUUAAAAUAUAGCCUAAAGAGGGACAGCUCUUUAGGAAAGGAAACAACCUUUAGUAGAGAGUAAGAUAAAAACAUACUAACCAUAGUUGGCUUAAAAGCAGCCACCAAUAAAGAAAGCGUUCAAGCUCAACACUUAAAAACUAUAAUACCUAAAAUUUUAUCAAUCUCCUACAUUCAUAAUUGGGUUAAUCUAUUAACAAAUAGAAGAGAUACUGUUAGUAUGAGUAACAAGAAUAAUAUUCUCCAUGCACAAGCCUAUAACAACCCGGAUAACCAUUGUUAGUUAACACAAAUAAAGCAUGUUAAACUACCUAUAAAUAAACUUUUAAAAUAAUGUUAAUCCAACACAGGUGUGCUUUAAGGAAAGAUUAAAAGGAAUAAAAGGAACUCGGCAAA